GAAGGAGAAGCAGGUGGGGAGGCCCCAGGCCUGACUCUAGUCCUCCCAGGGCCAGGGAACCCCUAGUUGGCUCACCCUGCAGGAGCCACACCCAGAACUGCCCAGCAGUGCUGCCCAGGACCGAGCUGCCAGCCAGAUGCAGCUAUUUUAACUUAAUUCAGCACAAUUUCAGAGGCGGCUCCUCGGUCGACCUGGCUGCACUUCAAGGGCUCAGUAGCCAUGCACGGCCCUGGAUCACAAAGUCUGUUUGCUGACUGGGGACCUCUCCCUUCAAGAAGACUCCAUCGCCAAGCUCUGGAAGGAGAAGAGGGAGCUGGAGGAGCUGCAUCAGCAACAGACGCGAGCUCUUGAGAUCACAGCUCUGAGUGCAGAGCCAGCUCUGACCACCCAUCAGUGCCGACGGUGGCACCGAAUGCCUCCUAGCCCAGAUCAGGCCCCAGGAGCAAGCUGAAGCCUGGAACCAGAUCAGUGGACCCGCAUCCCUGUGUUUGCUGACAUCAAGGAUCUACGUAUGUCCCCAGAGCGCCUCUAUCUGCUGCCCCAGCAACACCUCCCCUUAGACUGUGACUCUCCAUCAUAUCAAACCCAGAGCCCCCUUUUAUAACAAACACGCUCAGUUCUCAUUAUUCGAGGUGAUGAAGUCACUGAAUUAGCAAAGCCUGAACCUCUGCUCUUGGGAAAACACAGGGUUCAGUUCAGUUCAGUUCAGUCGUUCAGUCGCGUCCGACUCUUUGCGACCCCAUGAAUUGCAGCACGCCA